AUUGAACGCUGGCGGCAGGCCUAACACAUGCAAGUCGAGCGAGCGGCGGACGGGUGUGUAACGUAUGGGGAUCUGCCUGAUGGAGGGGGAUAACUACUGGAAACGGUAGCUAAUACCGCAUACCUUUAGAUGAACCCAUAUGGGAUUAGCUAGUAGGUGGGGUAAAGGCUCACCUAGGCGACGAUCUCUAGCUGGUCUGAGAGGAUGAUCAGCCAAACUGGGACUGAGACACGGCCCAGACUCCUACGGGAGGCAGCAGUGGGGAAUAUUGCGCAAUGGGCGCAAGCCUGAUGCAGCCAUGCCGCGUGAAUGAGGAAGGCCUUAGGAUUGUAAAGUACUUUCAGCGGGGAGGCGUUACCCGCAGAAGAAGCACCGGCUAACUCCGUGCCAGCAGCCGCGGUAAUAC
rnacentral:rRNA from 1 species